GACGAACGCUGGCGGCGUGCUUAACACAUGCAAGUCGAACGGAAAGGCCCUGCUUUUGUGGGGUGCUCGAGUGGCGAACGGGUGAGUAACACGUGAGUAACCUUCCCUUGACUUUGGGAUAACUUCAGGAAACUGGGGCUAAUACCGGCUAGGAGCUCCUGCUGCAUGGUGGGGGUUGGACAGUUUCGGCGGUUGGGGAUGGACGGGCGGCUUAUCAGCUUGUUGGUGGGGUAGUGGCUUACCAAGGCUUUGACGGGUAGCCGGCCUGAGAGGGUGACCGGCGACAUUGGGACUGAGAUACGGCCCAGACUCCUACGGGAGGCAGCAGUGGGGAAUAUUGCACAAUGGGCGGAAGCCUGAUGCAGCAACGCCGCGUGCGGGAUGACGGCCUUCGGGUUGUAAACCGCUUUCGCCUGUGACGAAGCGGGAGUGACGGUAAUGGGUAAAGAAGCACCGGCUAACUACGUG
rnacentral:rRNA from 1 species